GAGUUUCUUUGGAACAAGGAGCAACAUUUAAUAUCCGUGAGAAGACAGCUGAUGGAAAAUGCAUGGUUAGCGGUCUUGAGGAACAGAAUCACAUAUAAAUAAUGAAAGACGUGCCAUGGUCCGGAUACUUGUGUCCCACUUAAUUAAGCGCUUUGGAGAGAAUCCAUCUUCAGGUGCAAAGGCUAUGCUGGCAUCAUCAAUUGUGGAUCAGUUUCCAUGCCUGAGGGACUGUCAAGGCACAGGCUAUGACGCAUGGUUCACCCCAGGGAGAGGGCAUAAACCCGCAACAGGCUUUCUGGAAGAGCAUCUCCGCAGUGUCUGAAAAAGGCUCCACUCUGGCAGACGAGUAAAUCUAACAUCCCAAGUGCCACAAGACACCCGAGUCAUUUUGCCAGAACCAACUAGAACUCCAGAGCGGGCCAUCCAAUUGACGGAGUGACUGAAAAAUAACAUCUGGCCACAGUCCCAGGUUGGCCAACACAUGUUGGAGACUGCCAUCCAUAGGGCACAGUGGAUCCGAGCAAAUGGGACUACAUCAAUGCUAGACAUUAUCACAGAGUUUCCACGCUUAAUGGACACUCACAGGCAUGGUGAGCUAGAAUCUUACAAAAUUACUUGCGUGUUGUGGUGCUGGGAUUGUUGUUCGAUGUCAACUUUGUGCUAAAGUUUGGGAGUUCAUCUAGACUACCGUCUUUCAGAUACCAGGACAUGAAUCAAACACUGUCAAAUUAAUGAGUGCUCAGAUUGCUAGUUGAUAGUUCAAUGUAUGAAGUUUGAGAAAUUGUGACUAUUUUGUCCGUUUAAUGAUGUAAUAAGUGA